GAGCCAUUAGCUUAAUUGGUUAAAGCAGCGAACUCAUAAUUCGUUGAGUACAGGUUCGAGUCCUGUAUGGCUCACCA
rnacentral:tRNA from 1 species